rnacentral:rRNA from 1 species
GACGAACGCUGGCGGCGUGCCUAAUACAUGCAAGUCGAACGCACAGUUUAUACCGUAGCUUGCUACACCAUAGACUGUGAGUUGCGAACGGGUGAGUAACGCGUAGGUAACCUGCCUGGUAGCGGGGGAUAACUAUUGGAAACGAUAGCUAAUACCGCAUAAUAUUAAUUAUUGCAUGAUAAUUAAUUGAAAGGUGCAAUUGCACCACUACCAGAUGGACCUGCGUUGUAUUAGCUAGUAGGUGAGGUAACGGCUCACCUAGGCGACGAUACAUAGCCGACCUGAGAGGGGGAUCGGCCACACUGGGACUGAGACACGGCCCAGACUCCUACGGGAGGCAGCAGUAGGGAAUCUUCGGCAAUGGACGAAAGUCUGACCGAGCAACGCCGCGGGAGUGAAGAAGGGUUUCGGAUCGUAAAGCUCUGUUGUAAGAGAAGAACGGGUGUGAGAGUGGAAAGUUCACACUGUGACGGUAGCUGAACAGAAAGGGACGGCUAACUACGUG